rnacentral:rRNA from 1 species
UACGAAGGGGGCAAGCGUUGUUCGGAAUUACUGGGCGUAAAGGGCGCGUAGGCGGCUUACCAAGUCAGGCGUGAAAUUCCCGGGCUCAACCUGGGGGCUGCGCUUGAUACUGGUGAGCUUGAAUGCGGGAGAGGAUAGUGGAAUUCCCAGUGUAGAGGUGAAAAUUCGUAGAUAUUGGGAAGAACACCGGUGGCGAAGGCGGCAUCCUGGACCGGUAUUGACGCUGAGGCGCGAAAGCCAGGGGAGCAAAGCGGG